rnacentral:rRNA from 1 species
GAUGAACGCUAGCGGCAGGCCUAACACAUGCAAGUCGAGGGGUAACUAGAGUGAUAGCAAUAUUACUUUGGCUAGACCGGCGCACGGGUGCGUAACACGUAUGCAACCUACAUUAUACUGGGGAAUAACUUCGAGAAAUAGGCGCUAAUACCCCAUAACACUGCGGAGAGGCAUCUCUUUGCCGUUAAAGCUCCGGCGGUAUAAGAUGGGCAUGCGUCCAAUUAGCUAGUUGGUGAGGUAACGGCUCACCAAGGCUACGAUUGGUAGGGGUUCUGGGAGGAUUGUCCCCCACACUGGUCCUGAGACACGGACCAGACUCCUACGGGAGGCAGCAGUGAGGAAUAUUGCGCAAUGGACGAAAGUCUGACGCAGCCAUGCCGCGUGCAGGAUGACGGCCCUAUGGGUUGUAAACUGCUUUUGUACGGGAAUAAACCCUUCUACGUGUAGGAGGCUGAAGGUACCGUAAGAAUAAGCACCGGCUAACUCCGUGCCAGCAGCCGCGGUAA